CUCAUUUGACCGAAAGUUCUUGGUAUAAAAAAAAUGUUCGGAUGAUAUGGAAUUCCUGUUUAUUUUCUCUUUCGGUUUAAACAGAAAUGAACUGAAAUUGAAAUCCAAAGCAGAAUCGCCAGCAGAAACACAUUCUCCUCCUGGUAUUUCUCGCUCAAAUUUAUGUUUAAAAUACACUUCUGCCACAGAGAGGAUGAAAAAUAAAACAAAGACCAAGCGAAAGAGGGGUAGAGGUAGAGGAAAACGGUUUUUCCGGUAUGGGAAAAUGUUGGAAAUUCCAUGGCGACUGGCGAAUGCAUUUUCUGUCGCAUUUCCUGCCACAGUGUGCAGCAUAAAAUAACGGCGAAGCAACAUAAACACGUGCCAGGGCCUCUCGUCUAAUGUCGGCCAUUUCCUGCUGGCCAAAAACUGUAGGCCAAAACUCAGCCGGAUCGGAAGCAAGAGAGAGAGAGCGGAAAAGAGCGAAAUGCAUGAAAGCAAGCGUCACCAACAGCAACGGCAGCAACAGCAGCAGCAGCAGCCGUAAAAGAAGCGUCCUACUGUCGUAUAGCCAUAGAGCUGAAGCCUUAGGCGGAGAGAAAGAGAAAGAGGAGCACUGGUCAGGAGAGGGUCCCAGCAGGAGCCCCCACCCCUGCUCUUACACUCGCAGCCACUGCUGGGUAAGCGAAGGACGGCAUAAAACCUCAAAAAGAGAACGGGCGGAGGAGCAGGCAGCAGUGCAGCUGAGUCGGCUGGGGAAUACUCUUCGAAAACUUUUUACGCACUUCAAAGUGGGUUAGGUAAGGGCCGGGGUGAAGGUGCAGCUAAAAGUGAAUCUAUCACAACUUUUAAUAAACUAAAGGCGCUCCCUAAGUGCACCUUGAAAUGUAUGUAUUCUAUUUAAUUUUAGGAUAUACCCUGCCACUAAUGGGGCUCCUAAACGGAAUUCAAAUAAAGAAGAAAAGUAACAGCAACAUAUGCAUACAAGUAGAUCCAACAACAAAUACAAGAACCACAAGAACUCUAGCUAAAAACAUAAACAAAUAGCAGAAGAAGCAACAACAAACACAGCCACACUUGCAAGCAGAAUGAAAAUAAUGUAAAGGCUGGCCCAGAAGAAUGAGCGGGAGAAGCGAUAACCAACGAACAACAGUAACAAAUACCUAAAGAAACCAGAAAGAGGGCGGCAGCGGCGAGCGAGUGAGAAAUAUGUUAAUAAAGUGCCACAUCUAGCGGGAGGAGGUGCGGACGGGCCUGGGUCCAGGCCUAGCCUUAACGCGAUAAACGCUGGAUGAAUGACCUCUCUCUCCCUUGCUCUCUCUCUUGUGCGCUUGGUGCGGCUCGCUCUCCCUCUUUUGCUUUCGAAAACAGAUGCAAUGCGGCU
rnacentral:lncRNA from 1 species